rnacentral:lncRNA from 1 species
CCUGUGGACGUAAAGACACUGGCAUCUCUGUUACCUUCUCUUCCCUUUGCAAGGGUUUUAACUUUGGAAUCUUCCAGAGAAAGUUUGGCCAAUGCCAGAUCUCCCAGAGUUGGGAUUUUUGUUAUUUUUUUUCUUUGUUUUAAAUCAAAUUUGUGUCUGGUUCCUAUUUACACUACUGAUUGUUCUAAUCCCAGAGAUGAAUAUGUUUCUCCUCUGUAUGAGAAGUAAGCACCCUUUAUGGUGAAACCUGUCUCUUGUGGUAGAAACGGAAGCCGCUGAAAACAAACAUCAGCACAGGAGAGCCCCAGGCAGAGGUCUCCCUUGAGAUUCUUCCGAAGCAAUCGUUGGGGUCUGGGUCAGUUUCACAGGGUUAUGCCAUUUUAUUCAAGUCCGUUGCUCCGUUGUGCAGUCUCCACCAUAUAAGCAAAAAUGACAGCCAGUACAUAAGGGGUUAGCUUGACAAAGUAGACUUCCUUGUGUUCAUUUUUAAGGUUUUUUUUUUCUUAACUAUAUCUGUCUACAGGCAGAUACAGAUAGGUAUAUGGAAAUGUGCUUGCCUGUAAAAUUUGCAUUUAUAAAUGUGUUGCGAUGGAUCACUUCGGCCUGUACACAUCCAAUUAGCGUGACCACUUCCAUCUUAAAAACAAAUCUAAACAAAAUUUAUUAUUAUUAUAUAUAUAUAAAGGACUGUGGGUUGUAUACAAACUAUUGCAAACACUUGUGCAAAUCUGUCUUGAUAUAAAGGAAAAGCAAACGCUGUGUAACAUUACUACUUGAAUGCCUUUGUGACUGAAUUUUUUUUUUCAUUUUAAAUAUAAACUUUUUUGUGGAAAGUAUGCUCAAUGUUUUUUUCCCCCUCCCCCCCAUUCCCUUGUAAAUACAUUUUGUUCUAUGUGACUUGGUUUGGAAAUAGUUAACUGGUACUGUAAUUUGCAUUAAAUAAAAAGUAGGUUAGCCUGGAAAUGAAAUUAAACUUCACCAGUGUGUGGUCUUUAUUUCAGUGCCCAUCCCCCUCUCUUCACCCUUCCCACUCUGCCAUCGCCACAUGCAGUCACACUGCCGUCUCCACUCCUCUGACAGAGGAAACAUGAAUCCUUGAGAGAAAAAUCAGGACUCUCCUUCUCUGAGAUGACCUUGCUCUGAUGUGUAGACAGGAGGUGCAGCUUCCAGCUUGGAAACCCCCUGGACUUAAUGUAGAGAAAGCUUUGCAGACACUGCUUUGGGGAAAAACAAACAAAAAACCCUGAAAGGGACAGUUGUAAAACAUGUAUAAGCUGCUGUCUUUGGUUACUGUGUCCAUGGUUUGGUGUGGCUGUAUUUAUUUUAACUUCCAUCUUAUUAGUAAUGGUCGUUGGGAGUCUUUGUAAACCAUGAACACCAUGGACAUUGGGUCAGUCCCACCCAUGUAACCAACACGUGUGUGAGUCUGCUCAUUUCCAAUACUGGAUAAUGUAUGUUAACAUGUUAUGUCUCAUAGUGCAAACAGAAACACCAUUUUUUAGGGCUGGCUCAUUGUCAGGCCUAAAGGUUAGAUAUAAGGUCAUGUGACUGCUGCUUCAAUAAAGACAAAUUUAUAUUGG